rnacentral:rRNA from 1 species
CAGUCGUACGCUUCUUUUUCACCGGAGCUUGCUCCACCGGAAAAAGAAGAGUGGCGAACGGGUGAGUAACACGUGGGUAACCUGCCCAUCAGAAGGGGAUAACACUUGGAAACAGGUGCUAAUACCGUAUAACAAUCGAAACCGCAUGGUUUUGAUUUGAAAGGCGCUUUCGGGUGUCGCUGAUGGAUGGACCCGCGGUGCAUUAGCUAGUUGGUGAGGUAACGGCUCACCAAGGCCACGAUGCAUAGCCGACCUGAGAGGGUGAUCGGCCACAUUGGGACUGAGACACGGCCCAAACUCCUACGGGAGGCAGCAGUAGGGAAUCUUCGGCAAUGGACGAAAGUCUGACCGAGCAACGCCGCGUGAGUGAAGAAGGUUUUCGGAUCGUAAAACUCUGUUGUUAGAGAAGAACAAGGAUGAGAGUAACUGUUCAUCCCUUGACGGUAUCUAACCAGAAAGCCACGGCUAACUACGUGCCAGCAGCCGCGGUAAUACGUAGGUGGCAAGCGUUGUCCGGAUUUAUUGGGCGUAAAGCGAGCGCAGGCGGUUUCUUAAGUCUGAUGUGAAAGCCCCCGGCUCAACCGGGGAGGGUCAUUGGAAACUGGGAGACUUGAGUGCAGAAGAGGAGAGUGGAAUUCCAUGUGUAGCGGUGAAAUGCGUAGAUAUAUGGAGGAACACCAGUGGCGAAGGCGGCUCUCUGGUCUGUAACUGACGCUGAGGCUCGAAAGCGUGGGGAGCAAACAGGAUUAGAUACCCUGGUAGUCCACGCCGUAAACGAUGAGUGCUAAGUGUUGGAGGGUUUCCGCCCUUCAGUGCUGCAGCUAACGCAUUAAGCACUCCGCCUGGGGAGUACGACCGCAAGGUUGAAACUCAAAGGAAUUGACGGGGGCCCGCACAAGCGGUGGAGCAUGUGGUUUAAUUCGAAGCAACGCGAAGAACCUUACCAGGUCUUGACAUCCUUUGACCACUCUAGAGAUAGAGCUUCCCCUUCGGGGGCAAAGUGACAGGUGGUGCAUGGUUGUCGUCAGCUCGUGUCGUGAGAUGUUGGGUUAAGUCCCGCAACGAGCGCAACCCUUAUUGUUAGUUGCCAUCAUUUAGUUGGGCACUCUAGCAAGACUGCCGGUGACAAACCGGAGGAAGGUGGGGAUGACGUCAAAUCAUCAUGCCCCUUAUGACCUGGGCUACACACGUGCUACAAUGGGAAGUACAACGAGUCGCGAAGUCGCGAGGCUAAGCUAAUCUCUUAAAGCUUCUCUCAGUUCGGAUUGUAGGCUGCAACUCGCCUACAUGAAGCCGGAAUCGCUAGUAAUCGCGGAUCAGCACGCCGCGGUGAAUACGUUCCCGGGCCUUGUACACACCGCCCGUCACACCACGAGAGUUUGUAACACCCGAAGUCGGUGAGGUAACCUUUGGAGCCAGC